GAACGACGCUGGCGGCAUGCCUAACACAUGCAAGUCGAACGAGACCUUCGGGUCUAGUGGCGCACGGGUGCGUAACGCGUGGGAAUCUGCCCUUCGGUUCGGAAUAACUCAGGGAAACUUGAGCUAAUACCGGAUAAUGACGUAAGUCCAAAGAUUUAUCGCCGAAGGAUGAGCCCGCGUAGGAUUAGCUAGUUGGUGGGGUAAUGGCCCACCAAGGCGACGAUCCGUAGCGGGUCUGAGAGGGUUAUCCCCCACACUGGUACUGAGACACGGACCAGACUCCUACGGGAGGCAGCAGUGAGGAAUAUUGCGCAAUGGAGGCAACUCUGACGCAGCCAUGCCGCGUGCAGGAAGAAGGCGCUACGCGUUGUAAACUGCUUUUAACCGGGAAGAAACCCCAGGACGUGUCCUGGGUUGACGGUACCGGAGGAAUAAGCACCGGCUAACUUCGUG
rnacentral:rRNA from 1 species